UGGGGAAUAUUGCACAAUGGGCGCAAGCCUGAUGCAGCCAUGCCGCGUGUGUGAAGAAGGCCUUCGGGUUGUAAAGCACUUUCAGCGAGGAGGAAGGCAGUCGUGUUAAUAGCACGGUUGAUUGACGUUACUCGCAGAAGAAGCACCGGCUAACUCCGUGCCAGCAGCCGCGGUAAUACGGAGGGUGCAAGCGUUAAUCGGAAUUACUGGGCGUAAAGCGCACGCAGGCGGUUUGUUAAGUCAGAUGUGAAAUCCCCGCGCUUAACGUGGAACUGCAUUUGAAA
rnacentral:rRNA from 1 species